rnacentral:rRNA from 1 species
ACUGAGACACGGUCCAGACUCCUACGGGAGGCAGCAGUGGGGAAUAUUGCACAAUGGGCGCAAGCCUGAUGCAGCCAUGCCGCGUGUGUGAAGAAGGCCUUCGGGUUGUAAAGCACUUUCAGCGGGGAGGAAGGCGAUAAGGUUAAUAACCUUGUCGAUUGACGUUACCCGCAGAAGAAGCACCGGCUAACUCCGUGCCAGCAGCCGCGGUAAUACGGAGGGUGCAAGCGUUAAUCGGAAUUACUGGGCGUAAAGCGCACGCAGGCGGUCUGUCAAGUCGGAUGUGAAAU